rnacentral:lncRNA from 1 species
GUUUGAUCUCUUUUGAGGGGUUAGAAACCUAAUUUUUAUGCUUAUAAAUGCGUAGGCGAAAACGGUUCGUCGAAACAAGAAUCGAGCGCGAAGAUAUCGCCAUUUGAAGUGCUAAAGGGUUAAACCUAACCCAACGAAAAUUAAGCGGCGACAAGACUAGCACGGGAUCGCGUCUCGAAGUGUUUUCGGCAUCACCUAAGGUGGGGGAGUGCCAUCCCGAAGUCAUCGGGCUACCUUCUAUGUCUAAGUUUAAUAUCGAUCUAUUUGCAUAUUGUGCAUAUUCAUAUAGGGCUAGAGAUAGAUGUUAUUGCUUACAUUUGCAUGCUAGUAGCUCAAUUUAUCUUGCUUGGUUGGUUCAUGAUCUAGUAUGCAUGAUGAUUAUUUCAUAAAAACCUAGACCCUAUGUGAGAUGAUUAAUGCUUAUGUUGCUAAAGAACUAGUGUGAUGAUGAGUCUAAAUGACGAGUGGCAUCUAGUUAGAAAACUAUGAUUGAGUGGUACAUGUUUGAUGUUUACUUGAGAUGACCAUAUUAGUGUAGUUGAGACACUAUGACAUUGGGUACAAGAAUUGUUGAUCUAUGCUAAGAUUACCCUCAAAGGGUGUUGUUGCUCGUGAGAUGAUCAUGCUCACAUAGCCUGUCUGCGCUUGGUGGGGUCGCUUCCCUCAAGUUGUGCGCUCCGGAGUUGGUCACUAGAGAGGCAGCCCUGCUUGCUGCUCGGAUAGCCGCUUGUUAUCCGCAGGCGUACUCGGGGAUAGUCCAGCUAGGCAUCCCUCGGAGGUUUUCAUGUGAGCCUUGCUUGUGAACCUAGUGUUCACUUGAAGAUUGGGUUACCCAUUGAGUCUUACCCAUGAUUGAUGUUCAUAGUAGCUAUUCAUUGUUCAUAUCAGCUUAUUUGCUUUCCUAGUAGCAUGUUCUAUAGCUUACUAUGAUAGUUGUUCUAGAUGUUUAUAGUAGUUGCUUACCCUACUAUUUAUUGUUCAU